GACGAACGCUGGCGGCGUGCUUAACACAUGCAAGUCGAGCGGAAAGGCCACUUCGGUGGUACUCGAGCGGCGAACGGGUGAGUAACACGUGAGUAAUCUGCCCCUGGCUUUGGGAUAGCCACCGGAAACGGUGAUUAAUACCGGAUACGACCACUUCUCGCAUGGGAUGGUGGUGGAAAGUUUUUUCGGCCAGGGAUGUGCUCGCGGCCUAUCAGCUUGAUGGUGAGGUAAUGGCUCACCAUGGCUUCGACGGGUAGCCGGCCUGAGAGGGUGACCGGUCACACUGGGACUGAGACACGGCCCAGACUCCUACGGGAGGCAGCAGUGGGGAAUAUUGGACAAUGGGCGGAAGCCUGAUCCAGCAACGCCGCGUGAGGGAUGACGGCCUUCGGGUUGUAAACCUCUUUCAGCAGGGACGAAGCGCAAGUGACGGUACCUGCAGAAGAAGCACCGGCCAACUACGUGCCAGCAGCCGCCGCAG
rnacentral:rRNA from 1 species